CGGAAAGCCUGAUCCAGCAACGCCGCGUGAGGGAUGACGGCCUUCGGGUUGUAAACCUCUUUCAGCAGGGACGAAGCGCAAGUGACGGUACCUGCAGAAGAAGCACCGGCCAACUACGUGCCAGCAGCCGCGGUAAUACGUAGGGUGCGAGCGUUGUCCGGAAUCAUUGGGCGUAAAGGGCUCGUAGGCGGUCUGUCACGUCGGGAGUGAAAAACACGGGGCUUAACUCCGUGCCUAGCUUCCGAUACGGGCUGACUAGAGGUAUGCAGGGGAGAACGGAAUUCCUGGUGUAGCGGUGAAAUGCGCAGAUAUCAGGAGGAACACCGGUGGCGAAGGCGGUUCUCUGGGCAUUACCUGACGCUGAGGAGCGAAAGUGUGGGGAGCGAACAGGAUUAGAUACCCUGGUAGUCCACACCGUAAACGUUGGGCGCUAGGUGUGGGACUCAUUCCACGAGUUCCGUGCCGCAGCUAACGCAUUAAGCGCCCCGCCUGGGGAGUACGGCCGCAAGGCU
rnacentral:rRNA from 1 species